rnacentral:rRNA from 1 species
UACGUAGGGGGCAAGCGUUGCCCGGAAUUAUUGGGCGUAAAGAGCGCGUAGGCGGUCCGAUAAGUCGGCUGUGAAAGUCAGGGGCUCAACCCUUGAAAGCCGGCCGAUACUGUCGGACUAGAGUCCGGAAGAGGCAAGUGGAAUUCCCGGUGUAGCGGUGAAAUGCGCAGAUAUCGGGUGGAACACCUGUGGCGAAGGCGGCCAUCUGGACGUUCACUGACGCUGAGACGCGAAAGCGUGGGUAGCAAACAGG